GCUUGUCUCAAAGAUUAAGCCAUGCAUGUCUAAGUGUAAAUAAGUCUAUACUGUGAAACUGCGAAUGGCUCAUUAAAUCAGUUAUCGUUUAUUUGAUGAUCUCUUACUACUUGGAUAACCGUAGUAAUUCUAGAGCUAAUACAUGCAAAAAGCCUGGACUUCUGGAACAGGCGUAUUUAUUAGAUGGAAACCAAUGCAGGGCAACCUGGAAUAUGGUGAUUCAUAAUAACUCGCGGAUCGGUUUACCGAUGCAUCAUUCAAGUUUCUGCCCUAUCAGCUUUGGAUGGUAGGGUAUUGGCCUACCAUGGCUUUAACGGGUAACGGAGAAUUAGGGUUCGAUUCCGGAGAGGGAGCCUGAGAAAUGGCUACCACAUCCAAGGAAGGCAGCAGG
rnacentral:rRNA from 1 species